UGGGGAAUUUUGGACAAUGGACGCAAGUCUGAUCCAGCCAUACCGCGUGCGGGAAGAAGGCCUUCGGGUUGUAAACCGCUUUUGUCAGGGAAGAAACGAGUUUCUCUAAUACAGAGACUUAAUGACGGUACCUGAAGAAUAAGCACCGGCUAACUACGUGCCAGCAGCCGCGGUAAUACGUAGGGUGCAAGCGUUAAUCGGAAUUACUGGGCGUAAAGCGUGCGCAGGCGGUUAUGCAAGACAGAUGUGAAAUCCCCGGGCUCAACCUGGGAACUGCAUUUGUGACUGCAUAGCUGGAGUGCGGCAGAGGGGGAUGGAAUUCCGCGUGUAGCAGUGAAAUGCGUAGAUAUGUGGAGGAACACCGAUGGCGAAGGCAGCCCCCUGGGUCAAGAUUGACGCUCAUGCACGAAAGCGUGGGGAGCAAACA
rnacentral:rRNA from 1 species